GUAUAGGCGAUAGAAAUUUUAUCCUGGCGCUAUAGACACAGUACCGUAAGAGAAAGAUGAAAAAGAUUAACCAAGCACAAAAUAGCAAGCACUCACCCCUAUACCUUCUGCAUAAUGAAUCAACUAGAAACGGUUUCGCAAAGAGAACUAAAGCCAAAUUCCCCGAAACCAGACGAAAACUAAAACCAAAUUCCCCCAAAACAGCUAAAAGAGCACACCCGUCUAUGUAGCAAAAUAGUGGGAAGAUUUAUGGGUAGAGGUGACAAGCCUACCAAGCCUGGUGAUAGCUGGUUAUCCAAGAUAGAAUCUUAGUUCAACCUUAAGUUUACCUACAGAAUCACUUAAUUCCCCCAUAUGCUUAAUUGUUAGUCUAAAGAGGGACAGCUCUUUAGACACUAGGAAAAAACCUUAUAUAGAGAGUAAAAAAACCCAGUUCCCAUAGUUGGCCCAAAAGCAGCCAUCAAUUAAGAAAGUGUUCAAGCUCAACAUAAUUAUCUUUAAAAAAUCUCAAACAUUCUACUGAACUCCUCACAUCACACUGGAUUAAUCUAUUAUUUCAUAGAAGUGAUAAUGCUAAUAUAAGUAACAUGAAUAUUUUCUCCACUGCGUAAGCCUACAUCAGACUGAAAAACUUCACCGAUACUUAACAGCCUAAUAUCAAUAAAUACAAACAAAGUCAAUAUUAUUCAUACUGUUAACCCAACACAGGUACGCUUUUAAGGAAAGGUUAUAAAAAGUAAAAGGAACUCGGCAAACUUAACCCCGCCUGUUUACCAAAAACAUCACCUCUAGCAUUACCAGUAUUAGAGGCACCGCCUGCCCAGUGACACAUGUUUAACGGUCGCGGUACCCUGACCCUGCAAAUGUAGCAUAAUCACUUGUUCCUUAAAUAGGGACUCGCAUGAAUGGCACCACGAGGGUUCAACUGUCUCUUACUUUCAACCAGUGAAAUUGACCUGCCCGUGAAGAGGCGAGCAUAAAAUAAUAAGACGAGAAGACCCUAUGAAGCUUUAAUUUACUAAUGCAAACAAAAUCAUAUAAAUCGGCGGACUUUAAAUUACUACACCUGCAUUAAAAAUUUUGGUUGGGGUGACCUCGGAGCAUAACUAAACCUCCGAACAACCUAUGCUAAGGCUACACAAGCCAAAGCGAGUCAACAACCAUAAUUGAUCCAAUAACUUGACCAACGGAACAAGUUACCCUAGGGAUAACAGCGCAAUCCUAUUCUAGAGUCCAUAUCGACAACAGGGUUUAUGACCUCGAUGUUGGAUCAGGACAGCCUAAUGAUGCAGCAGUUAUCAAGGGUUCGUUUGUUCAACAAUUACAGUCCUACGUGAUCUGAGUUCAGACCGGAGCAAUCCAGGUCGGUUUCUAAUGUGCCUCAUCCAGUAAGUUGAAGGCCUGAAUCG
rnacentral:rRNA from 1 species